rnacentral:rRNA from 1 species
AUGAGCAAGACGCCGCCUACAUCAGUAAGGGACCUCCCAUCAGAGAUCAUCGUCUCGGUGUUCAUGUUGCUCCCCGGCAAGUACGACCGUGUACGGAUGUCAGUUGCCUGCAAAAGCUGGAGGGCACUGUAUCUUCAAAAUCUUGGAAUGAUACCACCAGAACUGCCGUGGCUAGUCUUGCCAUCAACCACCAAACCCAUGGUUCAUAUGACCUGUGGUCCGUUCAAUUACAAGCUUGAUCUUCCAGCACCUAUCAAAGAUGAUGCAGAAUUCUGUGGGUCGCAUGAGGGAGGUUGGGCUGCCCUGGCCAUGAACACUGGAGAGAAUGUUCUUUACAACUUCAACAGUAAGGAAACAUUGCCAAUGCCAACCACAAUGCUUUUGGAGGAAGAUCUGGUGGUUCAGGCAAUAUUGAAGAUGGCUUCUUUUUCUGCUCCCCCUCUUCCAGAUCCAGCCCAAUGUGUGGUCGCUGCAGGUCUCGCCAUCACUGAGCCAGAUUCCAUUCACUUUGCUUAUUGGCAGUAUGGUGUGGGUGCUCACUGGACCCGUGUUAGUCUUGGUAGCAGGGAUGGUCUCAGCUCGCCUAUGGUCGACAUCGUAUACCACACCCAGCGUGGUUGUUUCGUAUGUCUCACAGAUGACCAAAACUUGCAUUUUCUUAAGCCGAGGUUGGGUGAUGAUGGCAUUACAGUAAUGGAGUACAGGUUCCUCAAGGUUAGUCUUGCCCAGUCCGGCAGUGAGAUGUCGAUGAUGACGAACUUUCUACAAUACAUGAACCUAGGGACCCUAUCUGGACAGUACAUUGCGCAGUCCGGGAAUGAGAUCUGGUUCAUCUCGAAAUAUCUGGACAGUUUUGGCAACGGCAACAGAACAAGGUGGUUGCGUGUGAAGAGGCUAGAGGAGCAUGGUACCAGUAAAGAGGAUACGCCGUACUGGUCUGUUGUGUGCGAGUUGCCGGGGAGGGUGCUGUUCACAGGACUUGCCUCUUCAAGGGUCUUCCAGAGGGACGACGACUUCAGUGAUCACGCAGUGUUUCUUGAUGACAGAGGCAUCCGAGUUCCAGGGCUACUGGAGGUGAUGUUCGAGCGCACCGACUCCGGAAUGUUCUCCGUGAAGUACUCCAGGGCAAAGCCGUGGCCACCUGCCGGCGGGGAAGAAGUUGCACAUGUGUCCAACAAGUGUCCACCAACCUGGUGGCUCCACUGA